rnacentral:piRNA from 1 species
UGUUCCACAGAGCCAAGCUGCAAUUUAU